GUCACAGGGGACGGGUCCUUGUAGGUGACAGAGGAUGGAAGCUGGUCCUCCAGGACUAUAUCCUGUCCCCGGCUCCUCUCUCUCUCACUCCCUCUGUCCCUCCAUAUCUCUGGAAUCAUGUAACCAGCUCCGAUGACACUCGGUCACAGAGAGGGGACGUGAUCUUGCCACACUCCCGGAGAUCGCAGGAGCCUUGAUUCAGCCACCGGGGUCCUCACGGCGGGGGCUGAAUUCUUCCUGGGCGCGGGUCUUGGUAAAGGCCGACGUUUCAAAUACCGUUUUUAUAAAGUGGACCGACCUGAGCUCACGAUUUAAGAAUAUAAAUACAUAUUUACUCACAUCUAGACACCUAUUCUACUGAUAUAUUUAUGUAUUUUACUAAUAUGCAUUUCAUAUGUGUACCUAUGUUUUGCAUGCAUGUUGAUGUAUGUAUGUAUUAUUGUGUUGUAAUAUAUGUAUUUUAGUAAAUAGACAAAAGUGAUACAUAUUAGUAAAUCCAGUAUCUGUCAGUAUAUAUGUUUUUGGUCUUAGUGCAUAUUUUAUAUACGGGACAGUGUGCAUAUAUGUGUAUCUAUCACCUAUCCAUCUGUCCAAUCUUUCUAUCUACCUAUCGUCUAUCCAGCCUGUCUAUCUAUCAUUUAUCUAUCGUCUAUCCAUCCUGUCUAUCUAUCAUUUAUGUAUCAUCUAUCCAUCCUGGCUAUCUAUCAUCUGUCUAUCCAUCUAUCUGUCAUCUACCAGUUCUACCAUCUAUCUAUCUUCUAUCAUCUAACCAUCCUGUCUAUCUAUCUAUCUAUCUAUGUAUCUAUCUAUCUG
rnacentral:lncRNA from 1 species